rnacentral:rRNA from 1 species
GACGAACGCUGGCGGCGUGCUUAACACAUGCAAGUCGAACGAAGUGGCGCACGGGAGAGUAACGCGUAAACAAUCUGCCCUUCAGAGGGGGACAACAGUGGGAAACGACUGCUAAUACCGCAUACUGAAGGAGGGGAUUGCGUCUGAUUGGUGCUUUGGAGGGGUAACGGCCCACCAAGGCGAUGGUGGGUGGCCGGUCUGAGAGGGUGAACGGCGACAUUGGGACUGAGACACGGCCCAGACUCCUACGGGAGGCAGCAGUGGGGAAUCUUCCGCAAUAGACGAAAGUCUGACGGAGCAACGCGGCGUGAGUGAUGACGGCCUUCGGGUUGUAAAGCUCUGUUAAUCGGGACGCGGUACCGGAAUAGAAAGCCACGGCUAACUACGUGCCAGCAGCCGCGGUAAUAC